CUAUCAUUAUAAAUCGGAGCAAAACUAUACUGGUAGAAAAAUUGUACACAGAAAAAAAAAGCCCAUAUUUUUUUACUAAUACCAAGAAUUCGUAGAUUUUCUGUUUUUCCGACAUUUUAUCCCGGUUUUUCCCAGACAUUAUGAAAACCACUUGAAAAAUCAAAACAUCAACUCCUUAAAUUACCAUGAAGAUAAAAUUUGCUUUCAGAAAAUAAAUUACACUUGAUACAUUGCAGCAAGAUUUCUGGUAGAAAAGUGUAAACAACAAAUCGAGGGGUAUUUUUCGAUUAAAAUAGUUCGAGGGAGCGAUAGCUGGGUCUCUAGGUAUACCCAAAAUGCAUUUGUUUGUCCUUGUUUAGAUAAAAGGGAAAGGAAAUGAAAAAAGUUGUUUUCGACACACCGUCUUGAAUUCGGAAACCCCAAGAUGACAAUAGGCAUAAAUAAUUAAUAGAUCAUGACAAAUAUACUUUAUGAAGAACAAUAUAGAGUUAUUUAACAUAACAUAUAAUAUCAAAAC